rnacentral:rRNA from 1 species
GAAAGCCUGUCCCAGUUCGGACUGGAGUCUGCAACCCGACUCCACGAAGUUGGAUUCGCUAGUAAUCGCGCAUCAGCCAUGGCGCGGUGAAUACGUUCCCGGGCCUUGUACACACCGCCCGUCAAGCCAUGGGAGCCGGGGGCGCCUGAAGUCCGGGACCGCGAGGACCGGCCUAGGGCGAAACUGGUAACUGGGGCUAAGUCGUAACAAGGUACC